GGUGCUUCCGUAGCUCAGCGGUAGAGAAUCUGCCUUGCAUGCAGAAGUUCUCAGGUUCAAUUCCUAGCAUCUCCA